rnacentral:rRNA from 1 species
GACGAACGCUGGCGGCGUGCCUAACACAUGCAAGUCGAGCGGAGGCGGAGGAUAGCCCAGCGAUGGGAAGGAGACUGCUUUAGCGGCGAACAGGUGAGUAACACGUGGGCAAUCUGCCCUCUGGAGCGGGAUAACAGACCGAAAGGCCUGCUAAUACCGCAUGAGGCCGGACCUUCGCAUGGGGGACCGGUCAAAGGGGAAACCCGCCGGAGGAGGAGCCCGCGUCCCAUUAGCUAGUUGGCGGUGUAAUGGACCACCAAGGCGAUGAUGGGUAGCCGGACUGAGAGGGUGAACGGCCACAUUGGGACUGAGAUACGGCCCAGACUCCUACGGGGGGCAGAAGUGAGGGAUUUUCGGCAAUGGGCAAAAGCCUGACCGAGCGACGCCGCGUGAGCGAAGAAGGCCUUCGGGUCGUAAAGCUCUGUCUAGGGGGAAGAGAACGGACGGUACCCCUGGAGGAAGCCACGGCUAACUACGUGCCAGCCGCCGCCGUAAGAC